GGCGGGUCUCCUCGCAUUGCGGAUGGGUGAAUCUGGUCAGAUCCGGAAGGAAGCAGCCAUAGCCCUCUUCUGCGAGUGCCGGGGGUUAGGCUCGCCACC
rnacentral:SRP_RNA from 1 species